AAUAUUAUGAUUAUCAUUUGGUUUUGUUGAAAAAUCUAGAAUCCUCUCUUUGGUUCUUUUUCCCCUCCACGAGGGUUUAUCUUUCUCUUUGGUUUCGUCAGAAAGGUUGGAAACUUGUGUUGAGCACAUCAUCGUUUAUUGGUACUCAAUAAUAGUGUUUCUUACUCUUUGCCCUCGUCCAUUGCGAAUGAUUAUAAAAGGAUUAUUUAGAAGAUAUGAAAGAUGGAACCCUGUUCAUCCAACUUAUGGAGCCUUUUGGGGAAUGGGUGUGGGCAUUGGUUGUGGUGUCGGAUGGGGUCCUGGGUUUGGCCCUGAAGUGAUAGGCUAUGUUGGAGCUGGUUGUGGCGUUGGAUUCAAUGUAGGCAUCACUUUUGCUGGCUUUGGAGUUGGCCUUCCAGCUAAGUUUAUCUUCGAAGCUCCAUAUAAUGGGGUUAGCUGCAUUAGAAAUUUACCUUGUAUCUCUGACUUGCAAAGAAAAGCCAGUGGACAACUUUUUGGAUUUUGUGAGAAGCCUUUAUCAAUCAAGGGAAUUGACUUGUUUGACCUGAAGAAGAGCUUGCCUUUGCUUACUUCAUCUGCCUGCAAAAGAAUACAAGCAUUCCAUAGCCAGUUCUUCAACUCUCAUAGAGUAGUACAAAAUUGGAGAACCUUUUGUCUGAAGAGCAUGUAGCAGAUGAUGUCCUGUUAAAGCAUCUAGUCUGAGAGAAUGCAGUACAUUAUGUGCAUAUGGCAAGGGAAAGGAUUGAUGACUUCCACAACUGACAGUUUUGUGGUUACGUUUUUGACAAACCUCCUAUUUUGUUUGUUAGCUCUCAACCAAAGCUCCUGUUUUUAUAAUGUUAAUAUCUUAAUUGUUCUACUCACUCAAUUCAAAUUCACUGGUAUUUACAAUUUUUUUAAAUUUGUUUGUUCAAAAAAUCUCACACCCGAGUUUUGUAACCAACGUAUUAAUAGUCGUAUGAAAUAAGGCUUCC